GACGGGUUCAUAAAGUAACUCUUAAAGUCUUUUUCUUUUGAAGGGCAAGUAAAGUCAAACCAUAAUGCUAACUGGCUCAUCAAAUUUCGCAUUCAUUAAAAAAACUUUUCCUAUUUAUCUACGCUUGGAAAGUGUUAUCUUUUGUCAUUAAUCCAUGGGUUUGCCUAAUUCAUGGUUCCCCUAGUAUACACGUAUUUGUUUUGUGAAAUUUUACACAACGGACUUUUUAAAAAAAAUUGCAUUCGGGAAAUUUGAUCUGCUGUGACGUGUUCUCACUUCUCAGUUUUUUUUCUUUUUUGAAAAUAAAUAUUCAAAAUGGUAUUUUCUGAAAAUUAAAUUUUAUCUGUUCAACUUUUAGCCACAUUCUUCAAGCCUCUUCAUUUUCAUCUUCAACACCGGGCCCUUGUGCCUUUUAAUCAAUUAAUGGCUACCCAAAAAAAAAAAAAACAAGGAGGGAGUACAAAUCCAACCACACACAACCACUUCGCUUGUUGGGUUUCUCUGUUUCGAGUUAUAAUUCAUCCACACUUUUCACCUCUUUUCCACAUUUAUUUUCUAGGGUUCGGAUAAUAUGAAGUCCGAUUUACGGGCUCAAAAAUUAGAGCCAUGUGUUUGACCGGUGAUCAACCUUAAUUUUUUUUUUUCAAUUUUUUUUUCUAAAAAUUAUUAAUUUACAUUAAAACUUAAUUAAUGAACAAAUCUUAAUUUAAUUUAAUUAAUCAGACCAACCUUUCUUCUUUCCAAUACUCACUCAACUUUGCUACGAAUCAGAUCAAUCAAAUGGAAAAAUGAAUUCAAACCUUACAUAACAUUUUUGAGUCCGGGUGGAUCGAGAAGGAGCGUUUGGAUGGAUAUGAUUCCAAUGUACAUAACAUUUUUCUCUCUCACUCCUUCAUCUUCUAAUGUAAGGGUCAAAGGAAAGAUCCAUUUUUUUUCCAAUAAAAAAUAGAUCUGAGGGCGAUGAAGAGGCGACGAUGAAGUGGUGGUGGUCCGGCAACAGUGGGCACACUGAAACCACCACCAACAGCCACGGCCACCUCUUCCUCUCACCGAAACAGAGCCACCACCACGAGUUCCCACAGUUACGGCCACAACACCACCGCGAGACCUUCUCCCAUGGCUAUGGAGCUCCACACCGAGAAGGCAUCACCACCGUCAUAAUCACCUCCGCGAGACCUUCUCCCAUGACUUCUGGGUUGUUACCCCACCCUAAAUUACAAAACCAGAUAUUAUCCUCACAAAACCUCCUCGCCUUAACCACCCCCAAAAAUUCCAGACAGAUCUGAAAAAUAUGGGUCUAUCAUGGUAUAAAGAUGGUGCCUUCAAUGGAUUUCAAUGAUCCAUGGGCUCUAGAUCUCACAAUCGCCAGCGCCAGAUGCAGGAGGAGGAGGAGGAGAAGAAGAGGUUAAACUAAGCAUUUUCUGUCAACUUGCAGUUGCUUGACCGCUAUAGAAGCAGAUGGGUGCUUGUGUAAACACGAGGAUCUGUGGAAACGUUGCAACUAGAGUUGUGCAAGAUACCCAGAAUCAAUUGCUUAGGAAUGAUGAUGAAGGUUCAAAUGGAAUUUGUUGGGAGAAGAUGAAGGAGUGGGAGAGAAAAAUGGUGGGGGUGAGAAGAAGAAGAAGAAGAAGAACGGGUUCUGGUGAUAACAUCUUUGAGCUUCAAAUUUGAUAUUGUGUUGUAAAGAUUUGAUUUUUAUGUUAGUUUAGUGUUCAGAACA